AUUGAACGCUGGCGGCAGGCCUAACACAUGCAAGUCGAGCGAGCGGCGGACGGGUGAGUAAUGUCUGGGAAACUGCCUGAGGGAGGGGGAUAACUAAUGGAAACGGUAGCUAAUACCGCAUACCAUUAGCUGUGACCAGAUUGGAUUAGCUAGUAGGUGGGGUAACGCCUCACCUAGGCGACGAGCCCCAGCUGGUCUGAGAGGAUGACCAGCCACACUGGAACUGAGACACGGUCCAGACUCCUACGGGAGGCAGCAGUGGGGAAUAUUGCACAAUGGGCGAAAGCCUGAUGCAGCCAUGCCGCGUGUGUGAAGAAGGCCUUCGGGUUGUAAAGCACGUUAAGCGGGGAGGCGUUACCCGCAGAAGAAGCACCGGCUAACUCCGUGCCAGCAGCCGCGGUAAUUC
rnacentral:rRNA from 1 species